rnacentral:lncRNA from 1 species
CUUUUUAACAGAGGAAUUAUAGAGAUAGGUGGUUUCAGUAUCAUUAGGAAGGGAGGAAGGAUAAUUAUAUUUCUAGCUAUGCCAUCUAUGAACAGCCAUCACAGGUUGUACUGUCACUGUUGAGGUUUCCAAACUGCGUGUGCAAAUAAUAACAUCUGAAGCCAUUCAUACCCUGCUUAAAAGAAGAUAUCUUUCUUCCUGUUCUCCUCCUCCUGCAGGGGAAAGUUUGUCAUGUAUUAAACUUUGCAGUUUAUUUUUUCUUCCUUGUCGUCCACAAAUAAAUUGUCAAACAUAGUUGUCGGUGUAUGGAACUACUUAGCUUAUAUCUU